AGAAGAAGAAGAAGAAGAAGAAGAAGAAGAAGAAGAAGAAGAAGAAGAAGAAGAAGAGGAAGAGGAGGAGAAGAGAAAUGUGCCGAAGGGGUUUUUUUCGGAUGACGAAAUUGAAGAAAUUGAUGAGGAUCAAAUUGAGGACGACGAUCAUACCAUACUUACGAACGACGAGGAGGAGGGUUGGGGUGUCGUAAACAGGUAUGUAGAUGAUUCCCCGAGCUCUGCAAUCGGAUCUGAAGG